rnacentral:rRNA from 1 species
UACGUAGGAUGCAAGCGUUGUCCGGAUUUACUGGGCGUAAAGCGCGCGCAGGCGGCACUCUAAGUACGCUGUGAAAUAUCCCGGCUCAACCGGGAGGGUGCAGUGUAGACUAGGGAGCUAGAGGUCGGUAGAGGGGGGUGGAAUUGCUGGUGUAGCGGUGAAAUGCGUAGAGAUCAGCAGGAACACCCGUGGCGAAGGCGGCCCCCUGGGCCGUACCUGACGCUGAGGCGCGACAGCGUGGGGAGCAAACGAGG